rnacentral:tRNA from 1 species
GCCGAGUUAGCUCAGUUGGUAGAGCACACGACUGAAAAUUGUGGUGUCCACAGUUCGAUUCUGUGAGGCGCCCCACCA